rnacentral:lncRNA from 1 species
AGUGGUAAAUCAUAUCCUUUCUUCUUUGCUUUAUAUCAUUAUUAAUAAGAAUCUGAAGAAUUGAAAUGAAUGUUUAGCCUAUGUUGAGUUUGCUUACAACCGUAGUGUUCAUGGUGCUACUAAGCAUUCUCCUUUUAAGGUGGUUUAUGGAUUCAAUCCUAUCACCCCACUUAAUUUGGCACUACUUCUAAUCAGCGAGUGGGUU